UGGGGAAUUUUGGACAAUGGGCGAAAGCCUGAUCCAGCAAUGCCGCGUGUGUGAAGAAGGCCUUCGGGUUGUAAAGCACUUUUGUCCGGAAAGAAAUCCUUGGCUCUAAUACAGUCGGGGGAUGACGGUACCGGAAGAAUAAGCACCGGCUAACUACGUGCCAGCAGCCGCGGUAAUACGUAGGGUGCAAGCGUUAAUCGGAAUUACUGGGCGUAAAGCGUGCGCAGGCGGUUUGCUAAGACCGAUGUGAAAUCCCCGGGCUCAACCUGGGAACUGCAUUGGUGACUGGCAGGCUAGAGUAUGGCAGGAGGGGGGUAGAAUUCCACGUGUAGCAGUGAAAUGCGUAGAGAUGUGGAGGAAUACCGAUGGCGAAGGCAGCCCCCUGGGCCAAUACUGACGCUCAUGCACGAAAAGCGUGGGGAGCAAACAGGAUUAGAUACCCUGGUAGUCCACGCCCUAAACGAUGUCAACUAGUUGUUGGGGAUUCAUUUCCUUAGUAACGUAGCUAACGCGUGAAGUUGACCGCCUGGGGAGUACGGUCGCAAGAUUAAAACUCAAAGGAAUUGACGGGGUCAUAGCUGUUUCCU
rnacentral:rRNA from 1 species